rnacentral:rRNA from 1 species
UAUGUGAUCGUCUCUCGCAUAUCAAUAAGCGGAGGAAAAGAAACUAACAAGGAUUCCCCUAGUAACGGCGAGUGAAGCGGGAAGAGCUCAAAUUUGAAAUCUUAAAGGGUUUCCCUUUACGAAUUGUAGUUUAAAGAAGUGUUUUCUGUUGAGGUUUUGGUAAAAGUUCUUUGGAAUAGGACAUCAUAGAGGGUGAGAAUCCCGUAUUUGACCUUUACUUUCAACUUUGUGAUACACUUUCAAAGAGUCGGAUUGUUUGGGAAUGCAGUCCAAAAUGGGUGGUAAAUUUCAUCUAAAGCUAAAUAUUGGCGAGAGACCGAUAGCGAACAAGUACCGUGAGGGAAAGAUGAAAAGAACUUUGAAAAGAGAGUUAAACAGUACGUGAAAUUGUCAAAAGGGAAGCGUUUGACACCAGUGUUGUUUUUCUGAAAAUCAAUUAAAGAACUGUUUAUGCUAAGUUGUUUAGACUUUAUCAGCUAUCUGCUUAGUUUUGAGCUUUUCUUUAAUAGCACUUUUCAGUUAACAAGUCAACAUCAAUUUCUUUUGCUGUAAAAAAGCUUGAGGAAGGUGGCUUGAAAUUCGUCUUAAGUGUUUAUAGCCUCUUGCCUAUGCAGUCGGAGAGAUUGAGGUCUGCAGCGUAGAUCCUUCGGGGCUAAAUGCAUUUGUGCUAAGUUAUAGCAUUUUAUAGACAACUUGUUGACUAUGAUUUGUCUUGUAGCUUACUCGCUUAUGUUAUUUUACCUACGCUUAGGAUGUUGAGUCGUAGAGCACGCAG